ACUUGACUAACUUCUCAAUACAAUGCUGGUGGAGAGCAGCUAACAACUGUGCCAGCGGCGCUCGGAAGACGAUGAGCUGAACCGCAAGGAUACUUGCGGCAAGGCGACGGACUAAUCACCCCUGUGUCAAGAGCGUGCACUUUCUCUCAAUGUAAACCAAAUGCAACAUAUAGGUCGUGAGCAGAAUAUGGGGCGGUUUAAUCGCCGCACCAAUCUGAGUUAGGUGGUAGCCCGCAAGCGCCGCAAACCUUAGAAAUGCACCAAGCUCUUAGCCGUGACGGGCAGAAAUGUCCUAUAAGACCUUAAUGAUUUGGGUAAUCUCGCUUAAGGCUAGUCCAGACAAGAAAAAUUUGACGAACCUUAGAAUAGGUAAUUAACUUUUAUACGGAACGUAGGUGAGAUUUGCGGGUAAAGGUAAUCCCGCCGCAGACCAGCCCGCAAGGGUGGGGCUUCAAGCUGUCGAGUCGCUCUCGGCAUCUCCGUGGAGUCUCCUGCGUGGCAGAACGGAGCAUUGAAUAAGAGGGUACUCGGAAGUCUGAGAGGACGACGAGUGGGAAGG
ncrna:unclassified sequences ROOL RNA